rnacentral:ncRNA from 1 species
ACAAAGGUUUGGUCCUAGCCUUAUUAUUAGUUAUCAGUAGGCUUAUACAUGCAAGUAUCCGCCAUCCAGUGAAAAUGCCCUCAGCCACAUCUAUUAGGUGACCCGAGGAGCCGGUAUCAAGCUCACACUGUAGCUCAAAACACCUAGCCUCGCCACGCCCCCACGGGAUACAGCAGUAAUAAAAAUUAAGCAAUAAACGAAAGUUUGACUAAGCCAUGCAGAUAAGAGUUGGUCAAUCUCGUGCCAGCCACCGCGGUCAUACGAUUAACCCAAAUUAAUAAUUACCGGCGUAGAGUGUGGUUAGAACUCAAAAACAACUAAAGCUAAACUUAGUCUUAGCUGUAGAAAGCCCAAGACCAAUGGAAACUCAAUUACCAAAGUAGCUUUAUAUAAUACGAACCCACGAUAGCUGAGACACAAACUGGGAUUAGAUACCCCACUAUGCUCAGCCCUAAACCUCGAUGAUUAGUAACAAAAUCAUCCGCCAGAGAACUACGAGCAAUUGCUUAAAACUCAAAGGACUUGGCGGUGCUUUAUACCCACCUAGAGGAGCCUGUUACAUAAUCGAUAAACCCCGAUAAACCCCACCAUCACUUGCUAAAUCAACCUAUAUACCGCCAUCUUCAGCAAACCCUUAAAAGGACUAAUAGUAAGCCCAAAUGUUAUCACAAAAACGUUAGGUCAAGGUGUAGUCUAUGUGAUGGAGACAAAUGGGCUACAUUUUCUAAUUAAGAACAAUACGAACUUCUAUAUGAAAUUGUAGAAUAAAGGAGGAUUUAGUAGUAAACCAGAAAUAGAGAGUCUGAUUGAACUAGGCCAUGAAGCACGCACACACCGCCCGUCACCCUCCUCAAGUACCGGAACUUGAAAAUCUUAUUUUACUUCACAAAGUAUCAGAGGAGACAAGUCGUAACAAGGUAAGCAUACUGGAAAGUGUGCUUGGAUUACU